GAUGAACGCUAGCUACAGGCUUAACACAUGCAAGUCGAGGGGCAGCAUGAACUUAGCUUGCUAAGUUUGAUGGCGACCGGCGCACGGGUGAGUAACACGUAUCCAACCUGCCGAUGACUCGGGGAUAGCCUUUCGAAAGAAAGAUUAAUACCCGAUGGCAUAGUUCUUCCGCAUGGUAGAACUAUUAAAGGAUUUCGGUCAUCGAUGGGGAUGCGUUCCAUUAGGUUGUUGGCGGGGUAACGGCCCACCAAGCCUUCGAUGGAUAGGGGUUCUGAGAGGAAGGUCCCCCCACAUUGGAACUGAGACACGGUCCAAACUCCUACGGGAGGCAGCAGUGAGGAAUAUUGGUCAAUGGACGAGAGUCUGAACCAGCCAAGUAGCGUGAAGGAUGACUGCCCUAUGGGUUGUAAACUUCUUUAUACGGGAAUAAAGUGAGGCACGCGUGCCUUUUGUAUGUACCGUAUGAAUAAGGAUCGGCUAACUCCGUGCCAGCAG
rnacentral:rRNA from 1 species